GAUAAACGCUGGCGGCGUGCUUCAGGCAUGCAAGUCGAACGCCCCGGAAACGGGGAGUGGCGGACGGGUGAGUAACGCGUUAGUAACCUGCCCAGAAGUGGGGAAUAACUUGCCGAAAGGCGAGCUAAUACCGCAUGUGAUGGUCUAUCUACGGACUGAUCAUUAAAGGCUUCGGUCGCUUCUGGAGGGGCUUGCGUUCGAUUAGUUAGUUGGUGGGGUAAUGGCCUACCAAGACUGCGAUCGAUAGCUGGUCUGAGAGGACGGUCAGCCACACGGGGACUGAGAUACGGCCCCGACUCCUACGGGAGGCAGCAGCUAGGAAUCUUGGGAAUGGGCGAAAGCCUGACCCAGCAACGCCGCGUGGGCGAUGAAGGCCUUCGGGUUGUAAAGCCCUUUUGCGGGGGAAGAUGAUGACGGUACCCCGCGAAUAAGCCACGGCUAACUACGUGCCAGCAGCCGCGGUAAUACGUAGGUGGCAAGCGUUGUCCGGAUUUACUGGGCGUAAAGGGCGUGCAGGC
rnacentral:rRNA from 1 species